CCUACGGGAGGCAGCAGUGAGGAAUAUUGGUCAAUGGGCGGAAGCCUGAACCAGCCAAGUAGCGUGCAGGAUGACGGCCCUACGGGUUGUAAACUGCGUUUAUACGGGAAUAACGCGCCUUACGUGAAGGGCUUUGCAUGUACCUUAUGUAUAAGGACCGGCUAAUUCCGCUCCAGCAGCCGCGGCUAUACGGAAGGUCCGGGCGUUAUCCGGAUUUAUUGGGUUUAAAGGGAGCGUAGGCCGCAUGUCAAGCGUGCUGUGAAAUGUCCGGGCUCAACCCGGGACUUGCAGCGCGAACUGGCGUGCUUGAGUGCGCGGGAGGCAGGCGGAAUUCGUGGUGUAGCGGUGAAAUGCUUAGAUAUGACGAAGAACCCCGAUUGCGAAGGCAGCUUGCUGCAGCGGAACUGACGCUGAUGCUCGAAAGCGCGGGUAUCGAACAGGAUUAGAUACCCUAGUAGUC
rnacentral:rRNA from 1 species